rnacentral:rRNA from 1 species
UACGGAGGGGGCGAGCGUUGUCCGGAUUUAUUGGGCGUAAAGCGCGUGUAGGCGGACCUACAAGCCUGUGGUGAAAGCCUGGAGCUCAACUCCAGAACUGCCGAAGGGACUGUGGGUCUGGAGGCCGGCAGAGGAGAGUGGAAUUCCUGGUGUAGCGGUGGAAUGCGUAGAGAUCAGGAAGAACACCCAUGGCGAAGGCAGCUCCCUGGGCCGGUAUUGACGCUCAGGCACGAAAGCAUGGGGAUCAAACAGG